rnacentral:rRNA from 1 species
UACAGAGGUCUCAAGCGUUUGUUCGGAUUCAUUGGGCGUAAAGGGUGCGUAGGUGGCGCCGUAAGUCGGGUGUGAAAUUUCGGAGCUUAACUCCGAAACUGCAUUCGAUACUGCGGUGCUUGAGGACUGGAGAGGAGACUGGAAUUCAUGGUGUAGCAGUGAAAUGCGUAGAGAUCAUGAGGAACACCAGUGGCGAAGGCGGGUCUCUGGGCAGUAACUGACGCUGAGGAGCGAAAGCGUGGGGAGCGAACAGG